UGACGUCAGCGCAGCCGGGGCUGUUUCUGCUGCCGCCUCUUAAAGGGCCAGAGCAGCCGAGCCAAGCGGGGGCGGGGGGCACGUAGAGCCCCUCACCCCGCGCCCUGGGAUGCUGCGGCUCAUCCCGCCGCGCUGGUCCCACCCAUCCCGUUGACCUGCACGGGGGUGUGGACCCACACACGCACAUGCAUAUACACACGUGUACACAUGCACACGCACACAAAUAUACACCUGCGCACGCGCGCACACAUUUACACAUAGGCGGACAAGUUUCUCUGGGUAGAUGUGAUCUCUUUUAUCAGACCAACUGUUCUUUGCAACCUGCCAGGCCCAAGCACCCUUCUUCAGGCAUAGAGCGAGUCUGCUCUGCUGGUGUGUGUCUGCUCCCCUGGGUAGAACAGGAGCCAAUAUGCAAAAUGCAGGUUGAGAAACACUGGUCUAUGGCAGACUGAGCAAGAGAUGCCCCUUUGGGUUGCUUGCUGCUGUUGUGAGAUUUACGCUGUUUGCACUUUUCUGCCUCAGCAGUUCUCCGCUCAUAGACAGUAGCUCCAGUAUGGACGAGGCUUCACCAGGUGGAACGAUCAUGAGCAAAAUCUUCCCAAGAUUUUGGGUCAAUGUUGAAAUGUUUCAAGGAUGACUUGAGGGAGUCCUUGAAGCAUUUGUUCUGGAGAGCUCUUUCCCUCCUUCAGCUCACUGUGAAAGAUCUUUGGCAGUUGCUCAUCUGAUAUCCUGGCAACACAGCUAGCCCAUCUCAACUGUAAUUUCAUCAACAGAAUGUGGAUGCUUAGAAUGGCUGCCCAUGUAAGAACCUCAGUGUCUGGGACCUUGUCUUGCCAUCUUAUCCUCAUCAGUUUCCUCAGACAGCCCAUGUGAAAGUAAUUCAGCUUCAUAGCAUGGCAUCUGUACAUCAUCCAAGUUUUGCAUGCAUACAUCAGGAUUGGCAACAUAAUGGCUCUGUAGAUCUUCAGUUUUGUUUGUUGACCGAUGCCUCUGGACUCCCACACAUUUACAUGUAGUCGCUGAAGGCCAUGGUUGCUUUAGCAAUUCUGGCAUUUGUUUCAUCAGUGAUGUGAAGCAUAUGUGACAGUGUACUUCUGAGAUAAGUGAAUUUGUCCACUGCCUGGAGGAUUUGGCUAUUCAUUGUGAUGGUAGACUCUACACAUGGCUUUCCUGGUGCAGGUUGGUGUAUCACUUCUCUUCAGCUUGUGAGAUUUGGUCUCACAAUCAACACUAAGACGACAGAAGUAGUCCAUACUUCACUGCAUGUCAGACUCAGAUUUGGUAUUCAUGGAACAGUCAUUAGCAAACAGAAGAUCACAGUCACUUCCUGUAAGUUUGUUUUCACCUGUAGUCUCCUUAGAUUGAAGAUCUUGCUAUCAGUCCAGUAUCUGAUGUCAAUCAGAGCAUCACAGUCACGAACGGCAUCUGUAAGCACAGCAGAGAAAAUCAUACUGAAGAGGAUUGGGGCUAACACACUGCCCUGCUCAACUCCAUUGGCUCAGAUGACUCACCGGCAUCCACAACAAGAGCAAGCAUGCCAUCAUGGCACUGCCAAACCAUUGCAAUGAAUUUCUCCGGGCAUCUAAAUUUUGCCAUGAUCUUCCAAAGGCCUUCCCAAUUGACUGUAUCAAAUGCUUUUGUCAGGUCAAUGAAAGUCAUGUACAGGUUUCAGGAAAGGACACAGAACCAUAGACAUAGUGUUUGCAUCUUCUCAUAUACACAUGCACACACAUGUAUACAUGCACACAUACACGUAGCCGUACAUGCAUGCAUAGACACACACAUAUAGACAUGCACAUACUUAAAUGCAUGCAUAUACAUAUGUAUGAACAUAUAUAGAUGCAUACACACGUACGCACACAUAUGCACACAUACCUACACAUAUGUAUACACACCUGUUCACAUGCACAUACAUACAUAUACAAACAGGUCACACAAACACAUGCACAACGGCAUAUACACACAUACACAUAGAUGCAUAUACACAUACAUACAUACUUACAUACACAUAUAUAUUGUAUAUACAUACAUAGACGUGUCCACACAUGCAUAUACAUACACACACAUGCAUAUUGGGGCAGACCUAGGAUUUUGAAGAAGAGGGUGCGGUGAGGUCCAUCACCUCAUAUAAAAACAAUACAUUUUUCUCUAGUUAAAAAGAAACUAGGGGCACCUAUACAUGUGCAGGCUGCUCCUAUGUAUUGUAAUUACAGUGCAUCAGAGCAGACUCGAUUAAUUGAGUCUGCUGGAGCAUGGCAAUUACUAUGCUCCAGCAGACUCCAGCAUCUUGUGUAUUAGCAUCCGCAUGCUGAAAAACGGUGGGGGGGGCAUUGUAACUAAAGCUUGUUCGACACGCUUUGAAGUGCCCCUGCCAACAUUUUUCAGCAUCGGGAUGCUGAUAUACGAGAUGUUCAGGGCAUGUUAAUUAGAGUGGCUCUUGGAGCAGCUCUAAUUAAAACACCUCCCCCCACUCCCAGAGCACAUGUAUAAACACCCAAGAAGCUUUACUACUAUGCUAGGGGCCUAGGCUGUACUAUUCAGUUGAAGUUUGAAGCAAAAAAAAUAUAUAACUUCAUUGGAAUGGAGUUAAAAACAAGCAGUCUGCAGGUUUUGUGAAAUAGGGGUUUCCUGACCAGGAACAGCUAACAGACAGCACAAUUGCAAGACACAGGCUACCUUGGUUGGUGGAACAUCAAGACCACUAAAAAGAAAAGAGGGUCAUUAAUACCUGUGGGGUGUAGAGGUUAGAGGGGAUCAGGUACAUGAUGAUAAGAUAUGCAGUCAAGUAACUCCCUCAGCACUACCUGACUAGAAAUGCUGCUGCCAUUGCCAGGCACUUGGUUUUAAGCUUUGGGUGGACCAGAAAUCAAAGCAGGUACAAGUGCACCCUUCUGGAUCUGCCCCUGUAUGUAUACAUACACACAUAUCUAUGCUGGUUAGUCUAUAAAGUAUAAACAUACCCCACCCUCUACUUAACUUCAGACUAAUAGGUCUAACUAUGUCUCUAUAUCAGCGUAACUGGCAGCCUGGUGCCCCCAAAGCAGAGAUGACUCUCCUGCCCUGGCUGUUGCUUUUAGUGGUCUCAGGGAUUGCUGGCCUGCCUGUGACGUACAGGGCUGCUCAGCAAAGGCCAUGAGAUGUGGGCGACUCAUUGAGUGCCAUGGAGGCUAGGGAGGAGGUAUUCACACGGGGUAUGACUCUGCAGUAGUGGAAGCAAGGCAUUGCACCUCUUGCUGUGCAGGAGGCAUUGCCCCCUUAGGAGUGUCUCAGCCAGUCCAAACAAUAAUCCUCAAACAGGCUUGAGUGCCUGUGGCCCUGCUGCCUGGCUUUGCUCCCCUCAGUCAUUCCUCAUCACAGAUGCAUUAAUCCUUAGACCAACAAACAAAUAAAUAAGUAAAUCAAACUGUCAACCUUUCUCCAGGCAGCAAGAGAGGGCCCUGUAACUAGCACUUCCCAGAAGUGCACUAUUCUGGGUUUCAGUCUGUUAUCUACCCAUCAGCUGUUCCUUCCCCCAACUUGAGCUGCUUGCCCUCUCCCUGCUUGGGCUUUUAAUUCCCAGUUUAUCCUUUACAGCUGGGCUCCUAUCCCAGGGCUGGCUGCCCUACUUAAAAGGUGAGACUGCCCACUGUUACAGGUAGGUUAGAGACUUCUGUGUAAUUUGGCUAGUACUGGGAAAGCUAGGUAUGUUCUACUUGCAAGAGCCUUGCUAGUUUCCACUGCAUUCCAGCAGCCAUAGAUUAUAAGACCUGGAGGAACAGUCAUCAAUUCAUCCAACCCCAUACAUGAGCUAGGCUAGAGACCUUUGCCCUGGCCUCCAGCAUAUACCUUAUAACUGGGCCAGACUAUCCCUCUUACAAAGAGCCCCUGGUUUUCAUUAGCAGGUGCCACAGCAUGGAGAAUCUACUACUGUUAAAGAACAAAAAUAUAUAUUUGGAAUAAAGCUAGCCUGGACUCCCUUGCCCCAGUUGCGUGCUGAGCUCAACGCAUUCCCUUCUAAGCUGCCUUAACCCCAGCUUCUCUCUGCCCUACCCUGGCAGGCUGCACAGCUGACACACUUGAGGCCCUCCCCAGCCAUAGCAGCCCUAUGUGUUCCCUGAAGGGUGAUAAAUCACAAGGAGCAUGAGCCUCCAGGACUGACUGGGAAGGUAUACUUUGGCCACCCAUGCAUGCCAGGUCUCACUUAGUAUGGUGUCCAUCAAUGUCUAUCAUUCUGUGCUCAGGUAGAAGCACAGCACUAGAAGGACCUGGCCAGGUCAUCCAGGCUAGCCCCCUGCUGUCACAGGCAACUCCAUUACAGUAUCCCAUUCACAAACUGGGCAAACUCCAUCUUAAAACCACUUAGGUUCCCCAUCCCAUGAGUCUCACUGGGCUGGAGGUUGGAGUGGGGAGGGGGUUCCAGAGCCUCUCUGCUCAAUGCACAAGAACCUUGUUCAGGCCCCAAUGUAUUAAUCACCAGUUUCUCUCCCUUUGUUUUAUUCCUUCCCUGGUGUUUAUGCCCCAUGAGGGAUGUAUUUAUAAAUGACAAUCACAUCCUCUUUCAGCUUUUGCAUUGCCCACCUCUUUAAGGGUGCAUCUACAUUGCAAUCCAAAGGUGUGACUGCAGUUCAUAUAAACAUACCCUUUAAACUAUCUAGCUCAGGUCCCAAUAGCAGUGGAGCUGUAGCAAUUUAAUCUCAGUUUAAUCCAGGUGUUUAAUCCUGGUUCAGCAGGGAUUGAACACCUGAAGAUUUACCCCAGAUCCCAGACAGGUUUUGCUGACCCCUGUGCUGUUGCACCUGCCCCAUUAUCAGUACCCACACCAGUUAGGUAGCUUAAAAACUAUCUUGGGUACUUCCUGUGUUUCCAUCUCACCUGUGGAUUACCAUGUGAACUGAAGUUCAGGGCCAGAUUCUAUGCAAUUUAUUAAGCAUGUAAAUAGAUUUAGGCACUUAAGUGCCAUUCUGUUCCACUCUGCCAGAGUCCCUGAAAAAACACACCCAAGUGGGAUGUAUUCAUCACCUCUUCAUUGUUUUCAAUGACUCAGAAUCAUAAGCAUAAAAUCAUACUGUGUUACAAA